rnacentral:rRNA from 1 species
UCGGGAGCUUGCACAGGUGCUGCAUGGCUGUCGUCAGCUCGUGUCGUGAGAUGUCGGUUAAGUCCGCUAACGAGCGCAACCCUCGCUGUGUGUUACAAGUGUCACACGGUACUGCCGGUCUUAAGCCGGAGGAAGGUGGGGAUGACGUCAAGUCAGCAUGGCCCUUUAUGUCCUGGGCUACACACACGCUACAAUGGCCAACACAAUAGGUUGCUAAGCCGCGAGGUGGAGCCAAUCCUCAAAGUUGGUCUCAGUUCAGAUUGCAGGCUGCAACCCGCCUGCAUGAAGAUGGAGUUGCUAGUAACCGCAGGUCAGCUAUACUGCGGUGAAUACGUUCCCGGGCUU